CCUACGGGCGGCAGCAGUGAGGAAUAUUGGUCAAUGGACGAGAGUCUGAACCAGCCAAGUAGCGUGAAGGAUGACUGCCCUAUGGGUUGUAAACUUCUUUUAUAUGGGAAUAAAACAGGGUAUGCAUACCCUCUUGUAUGUACCAUAUGAAUAAGGAUCGGCUAACCUCGUGCCAGCAGCCGCGGUAAUACGGAGGAUACGAGCGUUAUCCGGAUUUAUUGGGUUUAAGGGGAGCGUAGGUGGAUUGUUAAGUCAGAUGUGAAAGUUUGCGGCUCAACCGGAGAAGUGCAUUGGAAACUGGCAGUCUUGAGUACAGUAGAGGUGGGCGGAAUUCGUGGUGUAGCGGUGAAAUGCGUAGAUA
rnacentral:rRNA from 1 species